rnacentral:tRNA from 1 species
GCCCGGGUGGCGAAAUCGGUAGACGCAGGGGACUCAAAAUCCCCCGGAGCAAUCCGUGCCGGUUCGAGUCCGGCCCCGGGCACCA